rnacentral:rRNA from 1 species
UACGAAGGGAGCUAGCGUUGUUCGGAAUCACUGGGCGUAAAGCGCACGUAGGCGGAUGUGUCAGUCAGGGGUGAAAUCCCGGAGCUCAACUUCGGAACUGCCCUUGAUACAGCACGUCUUGAGUCCGGAAGAGGUGGGUGGAAUUCCUAGUGUAGAGGUGAAAUUCGUAGAUAAUUAGGAAGACACCGGUGGCGAAGGCGGCCCACUGGUCCGGUACUGACGCUGAGGUGACGAAAGCGUGGGGAGCAAACAGG